rnacentral:rRNA from 1 species
GAUGAACGCUGGCGGCGUGCCUAAUACAUGCAAGUCGAGCGAACAGACGAGGAGCUUGCUCCUCUGACGUUAGCGGCGGACGGGUGAGUAACACGUGGAUAACCUACCUAUAAGACUGGGAUAACUUCGGGAAACCGGAGCUAAUACCGGAUAACAUGUUGAACCGCAUGGUUCAACAGUGAAAGACGGUCUUGCUGUCACUUAUAGAUGGAUCCGCGCCGCAUUAGCUAGUUGGUAAGGUAACGGCUUACCAAGGCAACGAUGCGUAGCCGACCUGAGAGGGUGAUGGGGCACUGAGAAAGUGAGACGCGGGCCAGACACAUACGGGAGGCAGCAGCAGGGACUGGAGCGAAAUGGGCGAAAGCCUGAAGGAGCAGCGGCGCGUGGGUGAAGAAGGUCUGCGGAUCGUAAAACGCUGUUAUUAGGGAAGAACAAAUGUGCAAGUAACGAUGCACGUCUUGCGGGUACGGGAUCAGAAGGCCACGGCUAACUACGU